AGGAUGAAUGCUGGCGGCGCGCCUAACACAUGCAAGUCGAGCGGAAAGGCCCUUCGGGGUACUCGAGCGGCGGACGGCUGAGUAACGCGUGGGAACAUGCCCCAAAGUGAGGAAUAACUGCCCGAAAGGGUAGCUAAUGCCGCAUAUGAUCUUCGGAUUUAAAGGAUUUAUCCGCUUUGGGAGUGGCCCGCGUACGAUUAGGUAGUUGGUGAGGUAAAGGCUCACCAAGCCCACGAUCGUUAACUGGUCUGAGAGGAUGAUCAGUCAGACUGGAACUGAGACACGGUCCAGACUCCUACGGGAGGCAGCAGUGAGGAAUCUUCCACGAAAUGGGCGAAAA
rnacentral:rRNA from 1 species